AGAGUGGAACGUGCGGCCGUUAAACCGCCACCCGCCCUGUGCUCGGGGCGGGAUCGUAAGUUGCGCGUGCGCCGAUCCACUCUGUCGGUCCGGUCAGGGCCUGCAAACCUGCUGCUUCCGGUAGAGCGAGGGGCCCAGCGCCGCUGCCUUCCUCCACCCUGAUGCGAUGGAAGGGGACGGUUAUCAUGGAGCCCGGCUGUGACCAUGGAGGCCGCAGGGAGCCUGGGGCCCGGGGGCCCGCAGUCCCCCGGAACCGCUGAAGGGGCCGCAUCGGUGAAGAGGAGCGGAGGGGAGGCGGUCUCCGAGGGGAAGAGCGUGGGGUUUGUGCUUGUGCAUGCAGGGGCGGGCUAUCAUUCUGAGUCAAAGGCCAAGGAGUAUAAACAAGUAUGUAAGAAAGCUUGUCAAAAGGCAAUAGAGAAGCUGCAAGCUGGAGUUCUAGCUGUUGAUGUAGUUACGGCAGCUCUUAUUGAGCUUGAGGACUCUCCUUUCACCAAUGCAGGCAUGGGAUCCAAUCUUAAUCUGUCAGGGGAUAUAGAAUGUGAUGCCAGUACAAUGGAUGGAAAAUCAUUGAAUUUUGGAGCUGUUGGAGCACUCAGGGGGGUCAAGAAUCCAAUCUUAGUUGCAAAUAAACUGUUAAAUGAAGCACAGAAGGGGAAGCUCUCUGCUGGCAGAAUUCCUCCCUGUUUUUUAGUUGGAGAAGGGGCUUACAAAUGGGCAGUGGAUCAUGGAAUUGUUCCGUGUCCUCCUGACAUGAUGGCAACAAAGUUCAGCUUAUCUGCAUUUAGGAAAAACAGACGAAAGCUGGAGCUUGCAGAGAAGGUGGAAACAGAAAUGAUUCAGACAAAGAAGAGAAGAGAAGUGUCUGAAAACACUAAUGACACAGCUUCAUUAGAUACUGUUGGGGCAGUAGUUGUGGAUCAUGAAGGAAAUGUUGCUGCUGCCGUUUCCAGUGGAGGGUUGGCAAUGAAGCAUCCUGGGAGAGUUGGCCAAGCAGCUGUGUAUGGCUGUGGGUGCUGGGCAGAGAAUACAAGUGGCCCUAAUGUAUACUCUACAGCUGUGAGUACAUCAGGUUGCGGAGAGCACCUUGUGCGGACUGUGUUGGCUAGGGAAUGUUCGGUGGCCCUACAAGCAGAAGAUGCCCACCAGGCAUUGCUAGAAACUAUGCAAAAGAAGUUUAUUCGUUCACCAUUCCUCGCCCAUGAAGACACUGUCCUCGGAGGAGUCAUUGUUCUUCGCUGCUGCAAAUGCUCAUUAGAAUCCGAAUCAUCGUUAAACACUCAACCUCUCCUAGUUGAGUUUUUAUGGAGUCAUACCACUGAGAGUAUGUGUGUUGGGUAUAUGUCAACUCAAGAUGGCAAAGCUAAGACUCACAUUUCCAGGCUUCCACCGGGAGCUGUGGCUGGGCAAUCACUAGCAAUAGAAGGAGGUGUUUGCCGGCUUCGAAGCCCUUUGACCUGAUCAUGCUUGAUGACUCUAAAUGGCAUCACACCGCAGUCUUGGAUUGGCUGUCCAGUUAUAGUGUAUUUUGUAUAUUUUAAUUAUGUAAAGAAUAAUUGGGAGUUUUAUCUUUUUUGAUACAGUAAUUGCACUUUGUACUUUAUGUAUCCUGAUUAUGCUGAUAAGUGCUGCUUUAUUCUGAGCAUAUCAUCUCUGCUUAAAUUGAAGGUGAUUGCAGUUGACUUUCUAGAAUAUUCAUCCUGUUUGUCGUAAAGAAAUGCCUAAUAUAGUGUCCCUAACAUAGCUAAUGUGAAAAAACCCUUCUCCCCUGUUUACUUGAAUUUCACUUAGAGCAUUGCAUUCCACAUUUGCUACCUGAAAGAUUCCAAUAUAUCUAUACACUGUAUUUAGUAGUGAUUGUGUCUAACUUUGCUAUUAUUGGUUUCAUUUCAUAAAGUAACUAUUUAUUUAGUUAAUAUCACACAUACCUACCUUGGGGCUGCUAGUCAAUCUGAGGUUUAUUUGCAAAGGGAGCAUUUACAAGGGGAAUUAUAACAGAUGUAAUUGUGCACAGUGUGCUACAACACAUUUAAAUUUCUAAAUGCUAAGCUUAAUGUAAACUGUUGACUGUGUACUAUUGGUACUAUCAUGCAGGACAUGAUCCUGAAUUCAUCAGCAGUUUUGGCUGAAAAAAUAGUGACGUGUAAUGUAGGUGGAAAAUUAUAUACUAAAGACUUAAAUAGUAAAACUACACAUUUAACAGGACUCUGUGCAAUGGGUGUAGGUCCUCAGUGUUCUUUAUUUUUAUUUUAAAUUGCAUACAAUUAGCAGUCAUUGGUAUACACUGAAGUCAAAUUGACUCAUCAUGAUAUCCAAUAAAAGAGCAUUUUUUUCACAUUUUUCUUCAAUUAUAUCCUUCACCAAACACUGGUGUCUGCCGACACUUGUUUCUGUGCUUUUGCAUUUGGACACCUUUUGAACGGGAACAUUUGAUGUGUUUGAUCUGUCUAGCUCACAAUGCCACUUCAGCUUUCAGAGUCCAUCUUGUUUACUGUAAGAGAUGUUACUGUGCUGUGCAGUUGAGCUUCUUUAUAACUGAUCGAUAAAUUAUGUUUCCUAUUCACAACCUUUUUCUGUUAUUUUGAAAUAUCCUGCUGUAGGAGAGCUCUGAACCAUUGGUAAUGAAUCAAUAUCUUACGAGUUUAGCCUGUUGAAGUUUGACUGUACCUGAUAUAUUAAACCUGAGAGUUGUUAUUUGUGGAUUCAGGACAAUCAUGGAGGCGAAUACCUAACGGGUAUUGGAAGAAUGCAAAGAAGAACUGAUGAUGCAUCUAAGAGAAUAGAUCAUUUGCAUC